UUAGCUGUCGUCGACGUUCCGCACCCCAGCAACGUCAUCGCCCGACCAACCUCUUCCCCCCGUCGUUGGCGUCACCCCAGCAACGUCGUCGCCCGCACGUCGUCGCCCAGCAAUCGUCGCCCCUGCAACGUUGAUUAAUUCGUUGUUUGGUAUAUUUUCACACCCUUUUAAUCAGGAGUUUGGGGAUGAGUAUCAGGUCUUUGUAACUGAUCUAUGGACUGAUCAUACUCCCUGGCCAUUUAAUCAAUUGCCAAGGAGUUAUAACUUCUUGGUAAAACAUGGAGCAUUGUGGAAAAUGACAUACUAUGGAAGUGCUCCAAGAUUAGUGCAUCAGCCACAUUUUCCAGCAACAUCUGCUUUUAUAGCUCGGACUACUUUGAAAGAUUUGAGAGGACCGCCCCCUAGUCGAUCUAAUCUGGAAGCACGGGUUAUAGAAGAAAAGGGGAAAAAAACCAGAUGCUUCACCAACGCUUAGAUGAGCAGGAGCAACAACAACAAAGGAUGUCUGAGUUGGAGUCACAAGUGAAAGCUAUGCAAGAACUUUUUUUUAGACAAUCACCUUCAUUGACUCCUCAAACUCGAGAACGUG